rnacentral:tRNA from 1 species
GAUUUUAUGCCGGAUCAACGGGCUACAUUGAUGGUGUAGAGCAGAGAAUAAUCUUCUUAAAAUUA